UUGCUUCAGCAGCACAUACAGCAAAACUGGAAUGGUACAGGGAGAAGAUUCGCAUGGUCCCCAGUGCAAGGAUAACACACAUAUUCAUGAAAUGUUGUAUAUUCAA